CAGUCCAACAGUGGUGAUCCUCUAAUGACCACAAUGGCUGUCCUCCUGCACCAUCUCAUCACUGCUCAAGGUGGCCUGACUUACCAUUCACCCGCAACCUUGCGCCGCGAGCGCCCAGCGGUUGUACUCUCGGAGAGAAAAAGGUUCACAUUUUUCGACUCAAUGGUUGUUGUAUUUCUGUGGGCCGCUCACCGCUGCCCCUCGUUGCCCAUUUUCCCGUUUCAAACUCGAAGCUUCUCUCUGUAACACUGCAAUCUCAUUUUCGAGGCGCUGGUCCUGUCAAUUUCAACUACUCCUCCAAGCUUUCCUCCAAUGCCCUCGCUACACAGUCUACAGGCUUUGGAGGAAGCUACAAAGUUCCAACUAAAGAGAACACUUUUCACUGGUAUAUUCUACAUGUUAUUUUAGAUUGCUGGCUUGGAUGUUAAAUAUGUAGCAUAUGUUUUCAAUUUUGAAUCCUAAUUACUCCUAGAUGAUGGAUCAUGUCACUGUCUAUACUAACUAACCCUAAAGAAGGAAGUUCAACAUAUGGUUUUCAACAUCAACCAAGGAUCAUUUUAUAGUUAGUACAAGUCCAUAGCAUCAGGCUCUGGACUGUAGCUUGAGAGGGUUCUAUAUUAUUCUUUCUUUUACCAAAAACAUUAUCUUUUCUAAGAACCAAAGCUGAUAAUAAAAUUACAUCCUAUUGAUAAAAAAAUAAUAAAAUUACAUCCUAUUGAUAAAAAAAAUAAUAAAAUAACAUCCAUCCUCAUAUGAUAUGAGAAAGAGAUAAGCUAUGGAAACAAAAUAAAAGAGAAAAACUGAGAAAUAAAAUAAAUGCUAUCUUGGAAUGAACUAAUGGGCCUUGGUAUCCAUCUGAACGAUAUAUCUGUUCUGGAAGCCAAGUCUCUCAUCUCCUUGAUCAGAUGAUUCAUAAUGCAAGGGUUGUCAGACCUGUUUCACAUCUCUCAAAAUCACAACUUGGGAACUGCCCUCCUCAACUCAUUCAAACAAUAUAAGCCAUUGAAGCAAUGUUAUAUUCUUUUCUGUAAUGUAAUCCCCAUUUUCAAUUGGACUUGAAUAUGCUAUAAGAAUUCACUUGGCACCUCCAAAGGGACUCCUUACACCUAAUGGCUCUGUAUUCCUAAGCAAACAAUCACCAAUGUGGAGCUUAAUAGGUCUCAAAGCUUUCUUUGUUGGAGAGGGGGUGGAGGGACCGCUUCUAAAGCAUAGUUUGCAUCCUAGUAGAUGAAGACAUUACUCCUAAUUAAGAAGCACAUAGUUCAAUUCCCAAAUUCAUCUCUCAUCAAUAUCCAUAAGCCAUUUUGUAGUACUAGAUCAAUGAUUUUCUGCUCAGGAGUCUAGAAAUGAAACCAUCCAGAACAAGCUUGGGGCGUCAACUGAGGGAUUCCAACUAGAGCUGAAUGGAGGGAAGACUUGCUUUGUGGUGUAUGUGAGUUGUCUAAAUCAACUGCCCAUUCACCUUACAAAUUAUGCGGACAUGAGGACAUAGUUUAGAAAUCCUGUCUGCAUUGAAGCAUCUCACAAGUAUUGGCCUUCAUAUGAACCGCUUCAGAAUAAGUCUCUGGUUUUUUAUGUGGUAACCAAACAACUUUUUUUAUCACAAAUACCUAUGGAUUAGGUGCAUUCUCAUUGAUGAGCGCAAAGAUUCAAGAGCAAGACAGGUUUUUUUUUUUUUUUUAAAUUAUUCAGGCUCCACAAACAGGAAUGGAAUCCAAACUUUCAUGUUCUUGUGGUUCUCUUCCAAAUUUGAAAUCCAAUGAUAGAACAGGCUGGAACGGAAAAAAAAAAACUGUGAAAAAGAGACGAAAGUUCCAGAUCCUUACACUUGAGGCAGAGAGAAAUCUAGGAAAUCUAUUUUGACAAAGAGUUCUCCACACCAUAUGUCAUCCUAAAGUUUGAUACCAAUCCUCUUAGGUAAAGUAGGGAUUCUCCAUUUAUCCCUUUCACUAAAAGGGUGGAAGUUCCUUGCCAAGGGGACAGGGUGGAUUAGGGGGAGUUCUUUGUUCUGAUGAACUAGUGCUACCAGCCAGAGAGGACAAGGGGUUCAAGAGGGUUCCUUUCCCCUCAGACACCAAAAGGAAAAAAAAAUCACAUCAUACCUCAGAGAAUGAGAGAAAAUUGGUACCAUGGCCAAACUAGGCAACCAAGGAAAUAAAAUAUGAUUCUUAUCUCCAGGACCAGUAUCCAUUCAUUUUCUUAAGGACCACACCGGAGUUAAUGACCCAAUUAAAUAUGCUGUUUUUCUCCCUAAAAGAUGUCUGCAAUCACUAGUGUAGGAGAGGGAGGUCCUACAAUUUCUGUGAGCACUUCAUGAGCAUGAAAUAAAGGGAUAGAUGUUAAAACUAAAAGUAAGAGAAAAUCGUAGAAAACAAAGUUGUCAAGUAAAGAACUGGUUAAGUAAAUUAAUAUUGGAUGGAGGGAAUUGGUUUAGGGAGAGUUUCAAAAAGGUUAAUUCCAUAGCUGCAAUUUGAAUAGAAGAUGGUUUUAAGGGUAAAAUUCCUGAAAGUUACAGGACUCAGAAAUCUCCAGGGCUUAUUAGGGAGACUUGUGAUAUCUUGGAGAAUAUGAGUAAUUAACCAAAGCAAGUCAAGGGCACUAGAAUAGAUAGAUCAAAAGAACAAGGGGGACCUGUAUACUGGGAAAAUUAGGGUCAGAAAGAGGGGAAACUAACAAAAAUACAGUUGGACCUUAAAGUAGUUUUAUUCAAUAUUCUCUCACACCAAAGACCUGUAUACUGGGAAUGUACAAACUAUAAACUCCAUAUUAGACAAAAAGAUUGCUUCUAACCCCAAAAAAAUCGCAUGGCUUCCCUUUGAAAAUGCUAUCUACACCAACCCGAGAAAGAAUUCUUUUUUUGGUAAUCCCAAGAAAGAAUUCUAGCCUUAAGAUUAGAUACCAGCCUGCCUAUCUUCAGACUCAGAUUUCUGAAAAAAAAAUAUUCUCUGUCCAAGUCUUUGCCCACAAUAGCAUGUUUGCUAGUUGGUUCAUAUAGUGGGCUUCCCUAAACAAUGAAGGGUUUCUUAGACGUGUGACAAAUCAGUUAGGAGCUGAAAAAUAGUCUGAGUUCCUCUCCUCACCCUCUCCGUUCAUGGAAAAAAAACAAACCACUUUGCCACAUGUGCAAAACAAGCCUACUUUUAUAUGCAAGUUUUAUAUUAGAAAAAUUAAAAUUUGAACAGCUAAUAUUAGUUCUGGAAACCACCAAUAUUAGCUGGGUUAAAUGCAUGUUCUGGGUUGUGAGACUGAACAUAGGGCUAAUUUAGUGGGUCUCUAUCUGAUGGAUGUUCUGGAUUGGCCAUAAAUCCCCCAGUGUGACAGAUAUCAAAUAUGUGGGUUCUUAUAGGGAAUCUCCCUACUUGACCUAACUAGUAAACCUUUUGCAUUAAGACAAAGAAAAUUAAUGGGGGUAAUGAUGGUUUCUGUCUGUUCUGCUAUACUUGGAUGGAAUUGCCUGCUUUGUUCUUGCAGUUUGUUCAUAAUUGAUUACCUCUUUUUCCUCUGACCAUAAGUAGUUCAAUCAAAAGAGAUUCUGAGUCGGUGUCAAACAGAAAGAACACUCCAAAAAUUUUUAGUGAAGUGAAACUGUUCUUUUUCUAGCCUGUUUUACUUAGUUGGCUGUGUUCUUGGCUAAAUCUCAGCAUCCAUUAAACAGCACCAUAUUCUGGCACCAGUCUUUUCUAUCCUUUUCAUUUCAUGAAAAUGGAAGUCCUUCCAGUACCAGAGCUACACUACCUAGAAGGACAAUCAUAGCUAAAGGAGGAAUGCUAAUCAUACUUGGUCAGGUAGGAUUAGAGAUCUGCCCUCAUUUCCUCACCUUUUGCUUUUUCCCUGUCCAUUAAGGUGUUUGUGCCUUAUCACAUGGAGGCAUGUUGUCAAUUAAACCACGUCUCUCUCUCUCAAACACACACCAAUUGAAGGAAAACCACUCUUCAUUUUGUUCUUUCAUCUAGUUUUCUGUUAUCAUUUAGGCCAUGGUAAUGUCCUAUGUUUUGGGAAUUGGAGGAUACAUAUGACCCAUGUUAGGGGUUUUGACAUGCUUCAUAUUGUAUGUGUAUGCCAAUAGAACAUGGUAAGGUGGUGGUGGUGGUCUGACUCCAAACGUCUGGAGGAGAAUGGCAUUGGAGAGGUUGGUAGUUCUAGUAUUGGUGACUUUCAGAGAAUCAGAGAGGGAAAGAGAGAAGGGAGAGAGAAGAUGUGGGUUUCUCCUCUCCUCAUAAUGGGUUUAAUGGGUGGAUUGCUAAUUGGGGCCCUAUUUAUACUAUUUUUGACAUCAAUUUUCUAGAAUCUUCUUAUAUUUUCCUUUUGCCUAUUUUCCCUUUAAUUAAUGUACAUGCCUUUAAUUGCUAUUCUAAGAUGUUCUUAAAUGUUAUUAUUUUAUAAAGUUAUUGUAAAUAAUUUUGCUUAAGUGGAUAAUCGGCUUUAACUGGUCUGGUCUGGUUCAGAUUUAUGUUGGGUUGGCUGGGUUAAUGUACUUAUAAAAAUCCACUGUCUUACAAUAUGAACGCGAAUUGAUUGUUUAUCAAGGUUUAUGCGACUACAAAGCAAAAUCCCACAACUAUGCUUAGUCAUCGUAGUUGUGUGGGCUGCUUCACUUGGCCAAUCCACUGGUAAAUAUUAUACAGUGGUGAUUCAUGUAUAUUGACUUAGUGGAGAAAGCAUCCGGCAACUGUCCUUGGUAGUAAUUCUGUAUCAAACAGAUGAAAGAGUGGAAAGAAUGAAUGGGUAAAGGAAAAGCAUAGGGGCUCCAGGCUCGGUUGUGCUGCAACUUCAUGAAUUCAAGAGCUAUCAUCCACGGGAAGAAAGGAAAGCAAGGUAACAUCGUUGAGCAAUGAGAUAGAUCUAAAAGUAGUUCACCCAAGGCUUUUGCUCAGCAAACAAAACUCUCAUUGAAUCCUAUAUUAUAUGGUCCACCUCAUCGAAAUUGCAGUAUUGGGCCAAUCAGUGCCUGCCAUACAAGUAAAACUCUGUCGUGAAGAUGGAAGGGAACUGACACAACCGCUAGAGCCUAUAUAUUAUGCAUUCCUUAGUGAGUGAGCAUUGGUCUGUGUCCGUGAUGGUGACAAAGGCUAAAAUUUUAUGGUGAGAGAAUUAUCAAAAGGGUGGUUGGUUGGUUUAGUCAUUAGUGAGCUCAAGAAUGAAGACAACUGUGAUGCUUCAACCCAAAAAGGUGGUAGGGCUUUUCGGGUUUUUAUCUUUUUACCGUCCCAGUUGAAUGAUUUAGCAGUGCAGGUUGGUUAGCAUUUUAGCAGAAACAGGCAAGAAUCAUGUUUGUUGAUGCCCGUUUGUCCAAAAAACGCCAACACAAUGCAUGUGGCUAGAAUUUUCGUGCAGGGUGAUUAUUAUUCAAUUACUAUUUUGGCGUUUUUAACUCUCUUAUAUAAUGAGGGUCUGAAUGCUGAUAUGGUGUUUGGCACAUUAAAAUGUGAACAACAUUUUUUUUUUGUUUGAAUCUUAUAUUUACUUAAUACACGUGUGGAGUUUGGGGCA